GAGUUAGAAGUUAGGAUUCUAUUUGUUUUUAUUAUUUUAAAAUCAAGCUUUGAAUCCUUAAAUCUCUCUGAAAAUUUUGAAAAAUUCCUAAGCCUUUGGCUGAAGGAUAUUCAAAUAUUUUCAAUUAAAUUUAUUUUUUUUAUUCAAAGCCAAAAAGAAGAUUUUUAUUCCUAGAACUCUAUAAAUAGGACCUAGCACCAAGCAUUUUUCAUUCAUCAAGCUAAGUUCAGAGGCUGCAAGUUGCUAGGUUAUUGUGAGAGUGUAAACACUUGGGUUGGGGAUUAUAAGCUUGAUCAUCAUAAGCUUAUCAAACACUUUGGGAAGUGAGGUUCGUUAGUAUCUCGGUUGUGGUUAGAUUGGUCUUUCAAGUCUUUGAGGAAAUCUAAGCUCUUGAGCACAUAAGUUUUGGAGUGUUCCAAAAAGUCCCAACUCAGUCCACAUAUCCCGGUAACUUUGGUAAGGAAAAUAGGCUAGAAUCAAUAUGUUUAUGUUUAUGUUAUCUUAUGUGUUAUGUUAUGAUAUGUUAUGAAUAUGUUAUGAUUGUGUAUGUUUGUAGGCUUGGGCUUAUGCCCUAUUUGACUAACAA